GGGGAAUAUUGGGCAAUGGGCGAAAGCCUGACCCAGCAACGCCGCGUGAGGGAAGAAGGGUUUCGGCUCGUAAACCUCUGUCCUAUGGGACGAAGGAAGUGACGGUACCAUAGGAGGAAGCCCCGGCUAACUACGUGCCAGCAGCCGCGGUAAUACGUAGGGGGCGAGCGUUGUCCGGAAUGAUUGGGCGUAAAGGGCGCGUAGACGGCCUGCUAAGUCUGGAGUGAAAGUCCUGCUUUCAAGGUGGGAAUUGCUUUGGAUACUGGUGGGCUGGAGUGCAGGAGAGGAAAGCGGAAUUACCGGUGUAGCGGUGAAAUGCGUAGAGAUCGGUAGGAACACCAGUGGCGAAGGCGGCUUUCUGGACUGAAACUGACGCUGAGGCGCGAAAGCGUGGGGAGCAAAC
rnacentral:rRNA from 1 species